rnacentral:lncRNA from 1 species
CAAGUAGUGCCCGGCCUGGCGCCGCCUCCGGGCCGGCCCCCGCCCCCUCCGCCCGGGCCCGCCCCCAGGGUGCGCGCUCCGGGGGGCCGCGGGGGCCCUCGCCCUUAGCCCCCAGCCCCGCCUGGAAAGGGGCCCGGGGCCCUGCGGAGCUGUCCGGUGGUGUGUGCUGGGUAAUGUCUUGGGAGGGACCCGUGUCUGCCUCCGAGAGGGAGGUGAGGGAGGGGGGACCAGAACCUCGAUGGGAGGUGCUGGGGAGGAGGGCAGGGUGGGGGGAAGCAGUGCCUGUAUAAACGUGGCUGUACAUAGAAAGCUCUAUCGUGGGAAAGCAGGAGGGGCAACGAGGCCUCAGCUGCUAGCCUGAGGGCCGGGAAGGGAGGGGGCGUUCUAGCGGACCCCUGGGAGGGUAGGGGGUGCUGCUUGCUGACUAGCCCACCUCUGGGCUGCGAUGUCACAGGGCUGGAGGCUGGGGCGGCUCCGGGGACUAGGGAGUAAUGUGAUGGGAUCACUGUGGGCAACAGCAAAUAUAAAACUGGUGAGAUGAGCUGCUGUGUGUCUUUCUGUGGGGGUUGGGGAAUGUGGCCACUGGAUGGGGACCCUGGCUCAGGGGCCCCUGGGGAGGGCAGGCAGAGUGGCCAAAUCAGACACUGUUAAGAAAGUGUACAAACUUUAUUGCAGCACACAUACGCACGCGCUCACACACACACGCACACACACCUGUGGAUAGGAAGAGCACCUGGCCACAGGGUUGACAGAAAUUGGGGGAGGGGAUGGCAGCUUGAAACGUGGCUUUUGCCACAGCCCCCCUCACCUUGGCAUAGGGGAGGCCUUAGAUUGAGGCCCCACCUCCCAGGGUGAUGGGGGACUCAGAAGGGGGUCUGGGAGAAUGUGGUGGGGGAGAGGUGCUGGGGAGGCCUGAGCAGUGGGGACCCUCUGAGCAGGGUCCUGAGGGCCGCCAAGUGUCUUCAGUCCUCAGGCCCUCCUCACAGCAGCUGUCUUGGUGUCGGGUCCCUCCAAGGAGCGUCCCAGGCCCCCCUCAGACUCGGGCAGCAGUGCUGGUGGUCCAAGCAGCAGACAGCCUCUGGGGCAGGACAGCAGCCCCACUCCCCAGACGUGAGUCGACAGCAGGUAGUGGAGGAAGGACAGCUGGUGACGUUAUCACAGGGGACAUCCCCCUCCACGGCUCCGGGGUCCGGCAGGCUGACGUGGGCUGGGGCUUUCUCCAUCCACGGCACCCGGCGGGUCCCCUGUUGACACACACCCUUCUCUGUGUCACACCUAAACCCGGACGGGCAGCAGUGCACGUGGUCCUCACAGCACACGGCCUAGGGUGGCGGGAGAGGGGACAGUGGGCCUGA